rnacentral:tRNA from 1 species
GGGCUGGGGCUCAGUGGUAGAACGCUCGCCUAGCAUGUGUGAGGACCUGGGUUCCAUCCUCAGCAUCACA